AGCAGCCGCGGUAAUUCCAGCUCCAAUAGCGCAUAUUAAAUAGUUGUUGCAGUUAAAAAGCUCGUAGUUGAAUUUCGGGAUCAGCAGGUCGGUCGUGCCACUGGUAUGCACUGGCCUUGCUGAUUCCUCCCUCUUGAUGAGCCGUAAUGCCAUUAAUUUGGUGUUGCGGGGAAUCAGGACUGUUACUUUGAAAAAAUUUAGAGUGUUUAAAGCAGGCAUGCGCUUGAAUACAUUAGCAUGGAAUAAUGAAAUAGGACGUUCGAUCCUAUUUUGUUGGUUUCUAGGAUCGACGUAAUGAUUAAUAGGGAUAGUUGGGGGCAUUAGUAUUCAAUUGUCAGAGGUGAAAUUCUUGGAUCUAUUGAAGACUAACUACUGCGAAAGCAUUUGCCAAGGAUGUUUUCAUUAAUCAAGAACGAAAGUUAGGGGAUCGAAGACGAUCAGAUACCGUCGUAGUCUUAACCAUAAACUAUGCCGACUAGGGAUCGGAUGAUGUUAAUUUUUUAAUGACUCAUUCGGCGCC
rnacentral:rRNA from 1 species